rnacentral:rRNA from 1 species
GAUGAACGCUGGCGGCGUGCCUAAUACAUGCAAGUCGAGCGGAAAGGCCCUUCGGGGUACUUCGAGCGGCGGACGGCUGAGUAACACGUAGGAACGUACCCCAAAGUGAGGGAUAAGCACCAGAAAUGGUGUCUAAUACCGCAUGUGCUCUAAGGAGUAAAGCUUCGGCGCUUUGGGAACGGCCUGCGCGUGAUUAGCUUGUUGGUGAGGUAAUAGCUCACCAAGGCGACGAUCAUUAGCUGGUCUGAGAGGAUGACCAGCCAGACUGGAACUGAGAACGGUCCAG